rnacentral:lncRNA from 1 species
CUUUACCCAGAGAUCAUUUUAAACACUUUGUAUUUCUCUGAUGAACUUAUUUGCAGGAUCAAUAGAAAAUACUUUAAUAGGUUAUGCCUCUGCAUUUCACAACUGGAGAGAGGAAAGGAAGACGCUUCAAGUACACAUAAAUUGUGAUGCAGCUUUCAAUUUCGUGGAUGUCACCAACAAAGAGACACAAGUCCAGUUUGUUUGCCAGCAUAGAAGAUGAAGCACUGAGGGAAAUGGAGGUAACAGGAAUAAGAAGAUAUAGGAGGGUUAAUGCUCUGAAGUAUCCCUUACCAUAGCAUCCAUGGCAUGCUAGAAAAGAGGACUCAAGAACAUCUGGUUUUGCUCCUGAGGAUACCUUACCCUUUCACACCUUUUCAGCUUUCAGGUUACUACUGAAAGUAAUCUGAAAAAUGUAAAUCUAACAUUUAGUUUAUUUAUUAUAAAUGUAAGAUACUGUUCAUUCUUUAUUGCUGAUCUCCAGGAACAAAAAGUCACAUGUUUUUCUGUUUUUGACAAAUGGAAAAAACCCCUAGUAUCAAUUUUUUCCAUAUAUACAUAUUACAUUUUCUCCAUGAUGUGCAGCUUCAUCAACAUUAACAUUUGCAAAAUGCAGAACUAUUUCCAUUUACACUGAAAAAAAUGAAUCUCC